AUGGAUGUGUGAUAUUUGCCCCAAAUCAGCAAAUAACACUCAAAAUCAACAAGCACGUAGGAAGAAAACGAUGAAAUGUGCAAUGGCCAUACCUGGGUUUCUCAAAGCUUUUGCAGAUUCUCACACUUUUCUUUACUCCAAAAUCAGUAAGACUCUAGCUUCCUUCCUCUUCUUUGUUCUCUGUUCUGCUUCUCUUCUCUUCCUCUCACUUUUUUUUUCCUUUUUU
rnacentral:lncRNA from 1 species